rnacentral:rRNA from 1 species
CGUGUACGUACAAGCAGUGGGAGCACAGGUUUACCUGUGUGACUGCGUACCUUUUGUAUAAUGGGUCAGCGACUUAUAUUCUGUAGCAAGGUUAACCGUAUAGGGGAGCCGAAGGGAAACCGAGUCUUAACCGGGCGUUAAGUUGCAGGGUAUAGACCCGAAACCCGGUGAUCUAGCCAUGGGCAGGUUGAAGGUUGGGUAACACUAACUGGAGGACCGAACCGACUAAUGUUGAAAAAUUAGCGGAUGACCUGUGGCUGGGGGUGAAAGGCCAAUCAAACCGGGAGAUAGCUGGUUCUCCCCGAAAGCUAUUUAGGUAGCGCCUCGUGAAUUCAUCUCCGGGGGUAGAGCACUGUUUCGGCUAGGGGGCCAUCCCGGCUUACCAACCCGAUGCAAACUGCGAAUACCGGAGAAUGUUAUCACGGGAGACACACGGCGGGUGCUAACGUCCGUCGUGAAGAGGGAAACAACCCAGACCGCCAGCUAAGGUCCCAAAGUCAUGGUUAAGUGGGAAACGAUGUGGGAAGGCCCAGACAGCCAGGAUGUUGGCUUAGAAGCAGCCAUCAUUUAAAGAAAGCGUAAUAGCUCACUGGUCGAGUCGGCCUGCGCGGAAGAUGUAACGGGGCUAAACCAUGCACCGAAGCUGCGGCAGCGACACUGUGUGUUGUUGGGUAGGGGAGCGUUCUGUAAGCCUGUGAAGGUGUGUCGUGAGGCAUGCUGGAGGUAUCAGAAGUGCGAAUGCUGACAUAAGUAACGAUAAAGCGGGUGAAAAGCCCGCUCGCCGGAAGACCAAGGGUUCCUGUCCAACGUUAAUCGGGGCAGGGUGAGUCGACCCCUAAGGCGAGGCCGAAAGGCGUAGUCGAUGGGAAACGGGUUAAUAUUCCCGUACUUGGUGUUACUGCGAAGGGGGGACGGAGAAGGCUAUGUUGGCCGGGCGACGGUUGUCCCGGUUUAAGCGUGUAGGUGUGUGUUCCAGGUAAAUCCGGUUCACUUUAACACUGAGGCGUGAUGACGAGGCACUACGGUGCUGAAGCAACAAAUGCCCUGCUUCCAGGAAAAGCCUCUAAGCAUCAGGUAACAUCAAAUCGUACCCCAAACCGACACAGGUGGUCAGGUAGAGAAUACCAAGGCGCUUGAGAGAACUCGGGUGAAGGAACUAGGCAAAAUGGUGCCGUAACUUCGGGAGAAGGCACGCUGACACGUAGGUGAAGUGAUUUACUCAUGGAGCUGAAGUCAGUCGAAGAUACCAGCUGGCUGCAACUGUUUAUUAAAAACACAGCACUGUGCAAACACGAAAGUGGACGUAUACGGUGUGACGCCUGCCCGGUGCCGGAAGGUUAAUUGAUGGGGUCAGCGCAAGCGAAGCUCCUGAUCGAAGCCCCGGUAAACGGCGGCCGUAACUAUAACGGUCCUAAGGUAGCGAAAUUCCUUGUCGGGUAAGUUCCGACCUGCACGAAUGGCGUAAUGAUGGCCAGGCUGUCUCCACCCGAGACUCAGUGAAAUUGAACUCGCUGUGAAGAUGCAGUGUACCCGCGGCAAGACGGAAAGACCCCGUGAACCUUUACUAUAGCUUGACACUGAACAUUGAGCCUUGAUGUGUAG